rnacentral:rRNA from 1 species
UAGGGAAUCUUCCGCAAUGGGCGAAAGCCUGACGGAGCAACGCCGCGUGAGUGAUGAAGGUCUUCGGAUCGUAAAACUCUGUUAUUAGGGAAGAACAAAUGUGUAAGUAACUAUGCACGUCUUGACGGUACCUAAUCAGAAAGCCACGGCUAACUACGUGCCAGCAGCCGCGGUAAUACGUAGGUGGCAAGCGUUAUCCGGAAUUAUUGGGCGUAAAGCGCGCGUAGGCGGUUUUUUAAGUCUGAUGUGAAAGCCCACGGCUCAACCGUGGAUGGUCAUUGGAAACUGGAAAACUGGAGUGCAGAAGAGGAAAGUGGAAUUCCAUGUGUAGCGGUGAAAUGCGCAGAGAUAUGGAGGAACACCAGUGGCGAAGGCGACUUUCUGGUCUGUAACUGACGCUAAUGUGCGAAAGCGUGGGGAUCAAACAGG